CCUACGGGUGGCAGCAGUGGGGGAUAUUGCACAAUGGGGGAAACCCUGAUGCAGCGACGCCGCGUGAGUGAAGAAGUAUUUCGGUAUGUAAAGCUCUAUUAGUAGGGAAGUAAAUGACAGUACCUGACCAAGAAGCCCCGGCUAACUACGUGCCAGCAGCCGCGGUAACACGGAGGGGGCCAGCGUUAUCCGGAUUUACUGGGUGUAAAGGGAGCGUAGACGGUUUUGUAAGUCUGGAGUGAAAGCCCGGGGCCCAACCACGGGACUGCUGUGGAAACUGUGUAACUGGAGUACAGGUGGGGCAGGCGGAAUUCCUGGUGUAGCGGUGAAAUGCGUAGAUAUCAGGAGGAACACCGGCGGCGAAGGCGGCCUGCUAGACUAAAACUGACGUUGAGGCUCGAAAGCGUGGGGAGCAAACAGGAUUAGAUACCCGGGUAGUC
rnacentral:rRNA from 1 species